ensembl:lncRNA
UGAGGCUUCUGCCUUGGAGCCAGCUGAUCACGGACAGAAUCCUCUGAAACAGUGUGCCAAAAUAAGCCAUUUCCUCCUCUAAAUUAUGGAUCUCAGAUGGGGAAACUGAGACAUGUGAUGGUGAAGUUCAUGGAGGGCUCUCCUCAGAAUCCUGUCUUCUUCACUUGAUGAGUUUGGUAAGGCAUGUGUGGGUCAAGUCUGUCACCAACCAUGCUCACCAAGAGACAGGGAUUUCCAGGAGGCAUGAAAAAAUGAGGCCGGAAGUGAGACCUUUCAAAUAAGUGUGCUGAACUCCAACAGUGGAAGGAGG